AAACCUCUGAACGACCCCGGUCGUUCGUCCUGGGCCUCGCCUUGCGGCGUCGUCCGAAUGUCAUCGGUCUCAUCCGUGGACGAGUCCCCGUAGGGCGGACCACGGCGUGGGACUCUAAGCCCCUCUG
rnacentral:misc_RNA from 1 species